UUUGUAUCACUGUGGUACACGUUCGGUGGAGGAACAAGACUGGAUUUUGGAAGUAAGUCAAAUAUCUUACAUUUUUAAUAAUUCUGUCUUUCUGUUUUUUUAUGUAGUCCACAGUCCAGGAAAAAGAAAGAUGCUUUAUCAUUUUCAUUGAUGAGUUUUUGACAAAGAUUUUGCAGUCAGAGACAAAGUUGACUUCAGCAACAUAACUUCAAAAAAACUAAUUUUAAUGAAACAUUUUUUUUUAAAUAACAGGAUGAAUGAUUAUUUCCAUCUUCAGUGGUAAAGUUGCAUCUUUAGGGCUUGUAGGUUUAGUUCAGUCAGACAAAGUCAGAGAGCCGCGUCUCUCUACAGUGAGAGGUUUUUGUACGGCGGCUCAAUGAGUUUGUAUCACUGUGGUUGACUUUUGGUGGAGGAACCAGACUGGAUGUUGGAAGUGAUGCCCGUCCCACCCUGAUGGUGCUGCCCCCCUCCACUGAGCAGCUGCAGCAGGGGACGGCCACGCUCAUGUGCCUGGCCAACAAGGGCUUCCCCUCAGACUGGAGUCUGGCCUGGAAGGUGGACGGCAGCAGCACCAGCAGCAGCAGCAGCAUCAGCUGGGAGCAGAGCAGCAGCCCCGGGGUGCUGGAGAAGGACGGCCACUACAGCUGGAGCAGCACCCUGAGGCUCUCUGCAGACCAGUGGAGGAAGGUGGGCUCUGUGACCUGUGAGGCCACCCAGGGCUCCCAGACUCCGCUCUCAGAGACUCUGAGGAGAGACCAGUGUUCCCAGUCCUGAUCUGACUCACUGGUUUUACUCUGCUACUGCUCUCAGUCUGCACUCUUUCUCUGUUUCUCUCAUGAUGUUUCAACAUUAACUUGUUCUUGCUUGUGUUGAUACUUUUAACAUUUUUUAAACAAUAAAGAAUUACAUCGUAGAUUAUAAAAGUGACGGGUCUCUUGAAUUAAUUCUUUUACAUGUGUUAUAUAGUAGGAGCAUGAAUCAGAUUAAAGUGCCAAACUGACAAAACUAUUAAAAAUGUAUCUGGAAAAAAUGUACUUACGAUUAAGACUGUAGACAUGGUGCAGCUUUUUCAAUGAAUAUAAAUCACAAAGCUAUCAAAUUUAAUUCAUUUAUGCUCUUGAAGAUCCAUUUGUUAAAUUAAUAUGUCAUUAAAUAAUCAUUUUUACCCAAAAUCAUCCAUCAUUAAUUUCUAAUUCUAUGUUCCCAAUAUAAAUGGUGUCCUGUUAAGAGGUAUCCAUACACAUAUUUUAGGGACAUCCUAAAAUCCCUACAUAUUGGUGCCCCGUGAGGCAUUGUAUCGUCGGCAAUUGUUCUGCUCUUUGUAACUCUCUCUUUGUUCUUGCUUGUGUUGAUGCUUUUAACAUUUUUAAGCAAUAAAGAUUUUAUUAUGUA